UACAGAGGGUGCAAGCGUUAAUCGGAGUUACUGGGCGUAAAGGGCGCGUAGGCGGUUUAAUAAGAUUGAUGUGAAAUCCCUGGGCUUAACCUAGGAACUGCAUCGAUGACUGUUAAGCUAGAGUAUUGUAGAGGGUAGUGGAAUUUCCGGUGUAGCGGUGAAAUGCGUAGAGAUCGGAAGGAACACCAGUGGCGAAGGCGGCUACCUGGACAAAUACUGACGCUGAGGCGCGAAAGCGUGGGGAUCAAACAGG
rnacentral:rRNA from 1 species